rnacentral:miRNA from 1 species
UCACUAGUGACACCCUCCCUCUCUCUGUCACUAGUCACCCCCUCCCUCUCUCUGUCACUAGAGUGAGGGGGUGACUAUUGACAGAGUGAGGGGGGUGACUAGUGAC